UACAGUCCAAUUACAAACCCAGAUGGUUCAAAUCAAGAGAAGCAGUCCUAAUUACAAUCUAGACACCUAUGGUUCAUAUGAUAUCAAUAGCAAUUACCCAAAUAGCUACAACAACUGGUUAAUUUCCAACUAAAACCAACAAAUGUAUCCAUCAACAUAUAGAUCUGGCAAAAACAUCUCUAUUUCAACUCCAUUUCACAAUUACACCAAAGUGAGUUUAGAAAUGCGUACCUGUAUAUCAAAUUACAACAAGAAGAAACAGGAGUUAGCAGGGCAGAUGGAUAACAACACGUUCAAACAGCAAAUCACAACAGCAGGAAUUAGUAAUAAACACCAGUAGGGAUCAAAUGCAGUCAAGAAAGUUUUAGCAGCCCAGAGAAGUUUUAGAAAAACCAAGCACAAAUAGCAAAUCUACCAACACAGCACUACAAUGACCCAAAAAUGAACCCAGCACUACAUAAAACCUUCAUCAGCCCAAAACUUCACCAAAAACCCAAACUAAAUCCACAAUAAUGCAACAGCUAGCAAAUAACCUACAACAAAACUGACUUAAUCCCCCAAAAUUUGCUCGAAAUGACCCCCAGUUGCCGGAAUUAGAGCUAGAGCUGCAAUCCAACUAAAUGAAACUAAAAACUAGCUAAGAGAAGCAAUGGAACAAUAUUUGUUUGUGCUUUUUUCCUUUUGGGAUUUUUUGAAGAGUUAUGUUGACUUUUUUGUGUUUUCUUCUAAGGAACUACAAUCAGAACAGAAUUUAGCUAAAAAACUGAAAGCUGAAUCAGAUUUCCAAAAAUUCUAGAAUAGGAAAAUUUUGGAGCUAAUAAUGACUGAAAG
rnacentral:lncRNA from 1 species